rnacentral:lncRNA from 1 species
CUGGGUCCGCCUACCUUAGCAUGAUUUAAAAGAGAGAAAAUAAAAAGGUGGGUGAGAUUCAUAAAUAUAACAGGGAAAACGUCAGAAAUUAAGGGAAGAACCUAUAAAACCAAACGUUUAAACUGUGGAUAAGAAAGAUGAACUGAUAUUCUAAAACUUACGAAUGAGAAAACUGAUGAAUGAUUGGUAAUUAUAACAUAAAAGGAGAAAUUGAAAGAGAGGAUAAAGCAGAUCAGAUGAGAAACGAACCAGUCCUCUUUAAGCCGACGAAAACGAGUAGAAGAAGCAGGAUUAUCAUCGUCUUCGUCUUCGUCUUCAAUGCCCCUCCAUCGGUCCAACAGCUCUCUACUUGUAACCAUUCUCUUCGUCGGUCUCUCUGAAUUAUCUACUACAAGUCGCCACACAUUGAUUGGACUCGAUAACCAUUCUCUUCGUCGGUCUCUCUGAAUUAUCUACUACAAGUCGCCACACAUUGAUUGGACUCGUAGGUAUUUUAGAGAAAUUAGGUUUAGAAGGGGAGGAUUAAAUAGAAUUCGUGGGAUGAAGGGUUUUAGAGGGAGGGGGAGGAAAGUUGAUCGGCGCGUUGGAAGAAGAUACAAAACAAGCGACGGGAAAAAUGGGAGUGUGAGAGGGAGAGAAGUGAUGGGACAACUACAAAUACUCCCCGUCCGUCCUCAAGUUCGUCCAACUACAAUAAAUUUUGUCCAAAUAAAUGGAGUAUUAUUAAUGAUAUUAUUACUUGUCAAAAAACAGACUAGUUUACUCCCGGAGAGAAGAAAAGAGAGGAGAAGAGAAAAAUAAAAUACUU